ACAACACCUUUACACGGGGUUCUGCAUUACUACUGGUACCUGCUGAGUUGGGUCUCGCGGGAAUGGAUGUGUACUCGGCCCGGGUGGGCGGUGUUUUACAGAACCUGUACACGGGGUUCUGUAUUAGUAUAUCGGGGUUCUGUAUUACUAUACUGGUUGGAUGAGGGUAUGAACUGUACUCCGUAUCGACUGUACACGGGGUUCUCCAUUUUAGUCACGGGGUUCUCCAUUUUAGUCACGGGGUUCUCCAUUUUAGUCACGGGGUUCUCCAUUUUAGUCACGGGGUUCUGCAUAACCCGUACAUGGUUACAGAACCUGUACACGGGGUUCUACUGUACACGGGUACAUAACCUGUACACGGUUACAGAACCUGUACACGGGGUUCUGCAUUGGGGGUUCUCCAUUUUAGUAUGGGCAUUAGUAUACUGGUUACCUCGGGAUGGAACUGUACUCGGUAUCGGUAUCAUAUAUAUAUAUAUAUAU
rnacentral:misc_RNA from 1 species